rnacentral:rRNA from 1 species
AGAGUUUGAUCCUGGCNNAGGAUGAACGCUAGCUACAGGCUUAACACAUGCAAGUCGAGGGGCAGCAUGGGGAAGUUUCGGCUUCCCUGAUGGCGACCGGCGGAUGGGUGAGUAACGCGUAUCCAACCUGCCCCGGACUCGGGAACAGCCCCUGGAAACGGGGAUUAACGCCCGAUGGCGCGCGGUGUCCGCAUGGUCACCUCGCUAAAUGCAACGGUCCGGGAUGGGGAUGCGUCCGAUUAGGCAGCAGGCGGGGUAACGGCCCACCUGGCCAACGAUCGGUAGGGGUUCUGAGAGGAAGGUCCCCCACAUUGGGACUGAGACACGGCCCAAACUCCUACGGGAGGCAGCAGUGAGGAAUAUUGGUCAAUGGGCGUAAGCCUGAACCAGCCAAGUAGCGUGGAGGAUGACGGCCCUACGGGUUGUAAACUCCUUUUGCGCGGGGAUAACCGCCGGGACUUGUCCCGGCCUGCAGGUACCGCGCGAAUAAGGACCGGCUAAUUCCGUGCCAGCAGCCGCGGUAAUACGGAAGGUCCGAGCGUUAUCCGGAUUUAUUGGGUUUAAAGGGAGCGCAGGCGGCUCUUCAAGUCAGCUGUAAAAGUCCGGGGCCCAACCCCGGUUAGCAGUUGAAACUGUAGGGCUUGAGUGCACAAGAGGCGCGCGGAACUCGUGGUGUAGCGGUGAAAUGCAUAGAUAUCACGAAGAACCCCGAUUGCGAAGGCAGCGCGCUGGGGUGUUACUGACGCUACUGCUCGAAGGUGCGGGUAUCGAACAGGAUUAGAUACCCUGGUAGUCCGCACAGUAAACGAUGGAUGCCCGCGGUCCGCCCCUUGGGGUAGGCCGCCAAGCGAAAGCGUUAAGCAUCCCACCUGGGGAGUACGCCGGCAACGGUGAAACUCAAAGGAAUUGACGGGGGCCCGCACAAGCGGAGGAACAUGUGGUUUAAUUCGAUGAUACGCGAGGAACCUUACCCGGGCUUGAAACAUGGACGCACUCCGGCAGAGACGCCGGAUUUCUUCGGACGUCCAUGUAGGUGCUGCAUGGUUGUCGUCAGCUCGUGCCGUGAGGUGUCGGCUCAAGUGCCAUAACGAGCGCAACCCCUCUCCGCAGUUGCCACCGGGCAAAGCCGGGCACUCUGCGGACACUGCCAUCGCAAGAUGUGAGGAAGGCGGGGACGACGUCAAAUCAGCACGGCCCUUACGUCCGGGGCCACACACGUGUUACAAUGGGGGGCACAGAAGGCAGCUGGCUAGCGAUAGUCCGGCGAAUCCCCAAAUCCCCUCCCAGUUCGGACUGGAGCCUGCAACCCGGCUCCACGAAGCUGGAUUCGCUAGUAAUCGCGCAUCAGCCAUGGCGCGGUGAAUACGUUCCCGGGCCUUGUACACACCGCCCGUCAAGCCAUGAAAGCCGGGGGCGCCUGAAGCCCGUUGCCGCAAGGCUCGGUCUAGGGCGAAACCGGUGAUUGGGGCUAAGUCGUAACAAGGUAGCC